UACAGAGGUCCCGAGCGUUGUUCGGAUUCACUGGGCGUAAAGGGUGCGUAGGUGGUUGGGUAAGUCUGAUGUGAAAUCUCCGGGCUCAACCCGGAAAUGGCAUUGGAUACUAUUCGGCUAGAGGUUUGGAGGGGGGGACUGGAAUUCUCGGUGUAGCAGUGAAAUGCGUAGAUAUCGAGAGGAACACCAGUGGCGAAGGCGAGUCCCUGGACAACACCUGACACUGAGGCACGAAAGCUAGGGGAGCAAACAGG
rnacentral:rRNA from 1 species